rnacentral:rRNA from 1 species
CUACGGGUCGCUCCAGUAAGGAAUAUUGCGCAAUGGAGGCAACUCUGACGCAGCCAUGCCGCGUGCAGGAAGAAGGCCUUAUGGGUCGUAAACUGCUUUUAUUUAGGAAUAAACCCCCGAACGUGUUCGGGGCUGAAGGUACUAAACGAAUAAGCACCGGCUAACUCCGGGCCAGCAGCCGCGGUAAUACGGAGGGUGCAAGCGUUAUCCGGAUUUAUUGGGUUUAAAGGGUGCGCAGGCGGGCUAUUAAGUCAGUGGUGAAAUCCCGGGGCUCAACUCCGGAACUGCCAUUGAUACUGAUAGUCUUGAGUUUGGUUGAAGUGGGCGGAAUGUAGCAUGUAGCGGUGAAAUGCAUAGAUAUGCUACAGAACACCAAUCGCGAAGGCAGCUCACUAAGCCAAAACUGACGCUCAUGCACGAAAGCGUGGGGAUCAAACAGGAUUAGAUACCCCAGUAGUC